UUCCUUGGUGUUGAGCUACUGCUUGGCCCAUGACACCGGUCUUGGAAGCUGGCUUCAUUUCACCAUCUGCCACAAGGGGGUGCUUGAUACAGGCUGGAAGACUGGGGGAGCCCCCUGACCGCAUUCUUCCAGAAAAGCCUGGGGAAAUUUCAGAUUCCGGAGAAGUGGCUUGGAUAUCGCUCCCACCAACACAUCCAGAUUGUCGAAAGUAAUAGGCAACAGUCACAUUUCAGGAUCCAGACAGAUUUUCAGAAGCAGGGCAACCCCUUCUUGUGUAGCAGUUGGGUCUGGCUCUGAGGAGGAAGAAAUCAUGGAUCUUCUGGAAAGAACAUGGUCUUUGGACUUCACUCACUUGUAAAGAGUUUGGGACCUUGGUCAAGUUACAUAAGCUUUUGUGUCUUCUCUGUUUCCUUCUCUCUAACUGGUUAGCCUUUAUUUUAGGUGCUUCAUGGGGUUCAGAGUUGCAUAACACAAAGAAACUGCCCCCAGAAAUCUCAGUGAAGAC